CCUGUUGUGUUGUUUUCGAAUAUCAAGCAGGCAGGGAUUUGGACACAUGCUUUGGGUUGGGUUUCUAAAAGCGUGAAUUCUUUGGGUUGCUAUAAUUUAAAUUGAUCUAAUUUAGUGUCUCAUAAUGGUAGCAGAUUACACAAUAGUGGUUUGAUUGAUAGGUAAUCUGCCUACAGUGGGUGGUUCUGGUUACAAAUCAGCCAACCUUAGCUUUAGUGGUAAAAUCCUAUUUCUGUGAUGAUGUCUCAAAGUUUCCUUGUAAAAGUGAAGUAGAGCUGGACACAAUUAUUGUGCUGCUGCUGUCGUGUCCAGGACACUCCUGUUGAAGACAUUUCUAUUCUCAGUGAGGCCUUCUCCUGGUUAAAUCAAGUUCUCUUUCAUUCUUCCUGACCGCCAGAGGCAGUGCUGAACACUGGAUAGUUAUCCACAGGUCGAGUAUUUAAUAUCAACAAAGUCACAUGACCUGGGAUGACAUAGAGCAUAUAUAAGCCCAGGUCAUCAUGAAAGAUGUCCCUUGUAUCUUCUCGCAUGUAAUCCGCAAAAACAGGUUGAAUUGAAGGAAGAAGAUAGCCAAUUUACUUUUCGCUAGAAGCCCUGCAACCGCAUGGUUGGAGCUAUGGUUUCGUCCUGCGAUUAGACAAUCACGGCUAUGCGCCUAACUCCUAGCUGUGGAAGACAUACUUCUUAGUUGUAGUUAAUUAUUGCUCCCUGACAAUUGUUUUACCUCGUUGAAGCAUUUAAGUUACCUCCUUAGUUUUGAUAAAAGAGCAACAGCUCCCCAGUAAGUAGCUUCCCUUGUGGGUAAAACUUUCUUUGUUGUGAUUGCUGUAGAGGUGCUUCGUUGCCGUUAUGUUAAAGAGGCAAGUUAUUCGCUCCCCAUUUUUUGAAUUAACAGUUGUUAACUGUUGGAGGCUGCUCAAGCCACUGUUAAGCCAGUGGUCUGUAUGGCGCUGGUGUGCUUAGGCUUGGAUGAGGCGCCAACGGCAGGCAAUCCAGCUAGUGCAUUCUUUAGGUGGGUCCCGCUGCAGGCAGAUUUUUCCGUGCCACACUCCCAGACAUACAUCGAGGAGCUCCACAAAUGCUGACCCCAAAUCUCUUUCUCACCACACAACCGACGGCAGGGCCUUGGCUUCCAUGCAGAAUGCCAGCAGUUAUGGACUGGGCCAGAUGCCAGCUGUGGAGCCAUAUAUUGCCUCCCUCACUGUCAUCGCCCGAUGAGGUCUUGAGGGCGGCACGCCAGUCCCUGCAAUCCUCUGGCGUGGAUGCUUCCAUCCAGAGCCUCAGUGAUGCAUCUCUGCAGGCGUUCGCCCAUAUGACCAGGCUAAUGUCAACACUUAACCCUGAUUUGCCGUCAGGUAUGGCAGGCCCAAUCUCCACUUUCGGGGCCAGGGCGAGCUGUUUGGCCCAGCAGCACAGCAGGCCUUGGAGCAGGGAAUCCAGGCCAACCAGACUCGGCAGCAGUUUGCUAGCCUUCGGGGACCUACACUCCCUACUGUGACAGCAGCCUCCACAAGGUUAUGGCACCAGUCGCCCUCGGCUGCCAGCUCGUCCUGGUGGCUACCCACGGACCUUGCAAUCCUUCGAGCAGCCUGAUCACCACCACGGGCUCCCAUGCGGUUGCCGGAUGUUCUCCAAGCCGUGACACAGCAAAGUUGGUUCACGCCCAUAGACUUGAAGGAUGCAUAUUUUCACACCACAAUAGUGCUACAUCACAGGGAGUACCUGCGCUUUGCAUUCAAAGGCAAGGCCUAUCAGUUCAAGGUGCUCCCGUUUGCUCUUUCCCUAGCCCCAUGGGUCUUUAUGAGGUCCAUGCGGGCAGCGCUGGUCCCGAUGCAAGCCAACGGUAUGCAGAUCCUCCUAUAUAUGGACGACUGGACUGAUCUGUGCUCCGACCUGGAAACGGGCAGCACAGGACACUACUUUGAGCAGGUGGGGCUAAAGUGCUUUUUGUCUGACAAUGGCAUCAGCUAAGUGUGUGAGUGAGGUUCACGUUUUGUCAGUGAGUGACGAAUGCAUGUGCUGGAACUCAGAUGGCCCAGGGGUGGCACUUUGGCCUAACCUGUCAUUCUUCCCAAAGAGGUUGGCUCCAGCCCACUUUAAUCAGGUCACUGAGCUGGCAGCUUAUGACCCCUCUACAGGAUAAGGAAGCUAAUUUGGCAGAACUAUUCUGCCCAGUGAGGGCCUUGAGGCAUUAUAUACAGGCAACUGCUGGCUUUCGCCACUCGGAUAGCCUGUUUGUCUGCUAUGGAGGCUAUAUGAAAGGGCACGCCCUGUCCAAACAGGCUUUCCAGGUGGACUGUUGAGGUAUUUGAGGAGGCAUACAGGUCAAGAGGACUUCCUUUGCCUCUUAAUAUCAGGGGCCACUUCGCCAGGAGUGUCUCCACUUCCUGGGCAGCACUAUGGCGGUACCGCUGAUUGAGAUUUGCGCUGUGGCCACCUGGGCUACAGGGUCAGUGUAACUGCUCCACAUGCAGUAGUGGCAGCUGUCUUUCAGGAGCCCUCAGGCCGUUCUCGGUAAGGUGGGAGUCCUCGCAACUAUGUUGGUAAUAGUCAUCCAGUGUUAAGCACUGCCUCUGGCAGUCAGGAAGAAUGAAGGAGAACGAGUUACGUAUGUAACUACAGUUCUAUGAAUUCUGGCUGACCACCAGAGUUCUUUGUCACUCAGAAUCUCGGCGAGAAGAUACAAGGGACAUCUUUCAUGAUGACGUGGGUUUGUAUACUCUACAUCAUCCCAGGUCACGUGACUUUGUUGAUGAUAAAUAUUCAAUCUGCGCGUGACUGAUAACUAUCCAGUGUUAAGCACUCCCUCUGGCGGUCAGGAAGAAAUAAAGAGAACCGUAGUCACAUACGUAACUCUUGUUCUUUACUUAUAAUUUUCCAUUGCAUGUUUUGUGUCAUAUUUCCAACACUUACCGUUAUUGAUAAUAUGACUGUACAUACAUAAAACCAUGGCUUUCCACUCUUUUACCCUGGGUAUUUACUUUGAAUAGUAAAUCUCACGCCAAAGCCUU